GAUGAACGCUGGCGGCGUGCCUAAUACAUGCAAGUCGAGCGAACAGACGAGGAGCUUGCUCCUCUGACGUUAGCGGCGGACGGGUGAGUAACACGUGGAUAACCUACCUAUAAGACUGGGAUAACUUCGGGAAACCGGAGCUAAUACCGGAUAAUAUAUUGAACCGCAUGGUUCAAUAGUGAAAGACGGUUUUGCUGUCACUUAUAGAUGGAUCCGCGCCGCAUUAGCUAGUUGGUAAGAUAACGGCUUACCAAGGCAACGAUGCGUAGCCGACCUGAGAGGGUGAUCGGCCACACUGGAACUGAGACACGGUCCAGACUCCUACGGGAGGCAGCAGUAGGGAAUCUUCCGCAAUGGGCGAAAGCUUGACGCAGCAACGCCGCGUGAGUGAUGAAGGUCUUCGGAUCGUAAAACUCUGUUAUUAGGGAAGAACAAAUGUGUAAGUAACUAUGCACGUCUUGACGGUACCUAAUCAGAAAGCCACGGCUAACUACGUG
rnacentral:rRNA from 1 species